rnacentral:rRNA from 1 species
GACGAACGCUGGCGGCGUGCUUAACACAUGCAAGUCGAACGGAAAGGCCCUGCUUUUGUGGGGUGCUCGAGUGGCGAACGGGUGAGUAACACGUGAGUAACCUGCCUUUGACUUUGGGAUAACUUCAGGAAACUGGGGCUAAUACCGGAUAGGAGCUCCUGCUGCAUGGUGGGGGUUGGAAAGUUUCGGCGGUUGGGGAUGGACUCGCGGCUUAUCAGCUUGUUGGUGGGGUAGUGGCUUAACAAGGCUUUGACGGGUAGCCGGCCUGAGAGGGUGACCGGCCACAUUGGGACUGAGAUACGGCCCAGACUCCUACGGGAGGCAGCAGUGGGGAAUAUUGCACAAUGGGCGGAAGCCUGAUGCAGCAACGCCGCGUGCGGGAUGACGGCCUUCGGGUUGUAAACCGCUUUCGCCUGUGACGAAGCGUGAGUGACGGUAAUGGGUAAAGAAGCACCGGCUAACUACGUG